UUCGAUGCAACGCGAAGAACCUUACCUACUCUUGACAUCCAGAGAAGUUUGCAGAGAUGCGAACGUGCCUCGGGAACUCUGAGACAGGUGCUGCAUGGCUGUCGUCAGCUCGUGUUGUGAAAUGUGGGUUAAGUCCCGCAACGAGCGCACCCUUAUCCUUUGUUGCCAGCGAUUCGGUCGGGAACUCAAAGGAGACUGCCAGUGAUAAACUGGAGGAAGGUGGGGAUGACGUCAAGUCAUCAUGGCCCUUACGAGUAGGGCUACACACGUGCUACAAUGGCAUAUACAAAGAGAAGCGACCUCGCGAGAGCAAGCGGACCUCAUAAAGUAUGUCGUAGUCCGGAUUGGAGUCUGCAACUCGACUCCAUGAAGUCGGAAUCGCUAGUAAUCGUGGAUCAGAAUGCCACGGUGAAUACGUUCCCGGGCCUU
rnacentral:rRNA from 1 species